ensembl:snRNA U6 U6 spliceosomal RNA
GUGCUCGCUUCAGCAGCACAUUUACUAAAAUAGGAACAAAACAAAGAUUAGCAUGGCCCCUGCACAAGGAUGACAUGCAAAUUUGUGAAGUGUCAUAUAUAUAU